rnacentral:rRNA from 1 species
AAUAGAUACCCCGGUAGUCCACGCCGUAAACGAUGAGUGCUAAGUGUUAGAGGGUUUCCGCCCUUUAGUGCUGCAGCAAACGCAUUAAGCACUCCGCCUGGGGAGUACGGCCGCAAGGCUGAAACUCAAAGGAAUUGACGGGGGCCCGCACAAGCGGUGGAGCAUGUGGUUUAAUUCGAAGCAACGCGAAGAACCUUACCAGGUCUUGACAUCCUCUGACAAUCCUAGAGAUAGGACUUUCCCCUUCGGGGGAUAGAGUGACAGGUGGUGCAUGGUUGUCGUCAGCUCGUGUCGUGAGAUGUUGGGUUAAGUCCCGCAACGAGCGCAACCCUUGAUCUUAGUUGCCAGCAUUCAGUUGGGCACUCUAAGGUGACUGCCGGUGACAAACCGGAGGAAGGUGGGGAUGACGUCAAAUCAUCAUGCCCCUUAUGACCUGGGCUACACACGUGCUACAAUGGAUGGUACAAAGGGCUGCAAGACCGCGAGGUUUAGCCAAUCCCAUAAAACCAUUCUCAGUUCGGAUUGCAGG